GACGAACGCUGGCGGCGUGCUUAACACAUGCAAGUCGAACGGACUAUCUCAUUUCGGUGGGGUGGUUAGUGGCGAACGGGUGAGUAACGCGUAGACAACCUACCUCUUAGAUGGGGACAACAUCGCGAAAGCGGUGCUAAUACCGAAUGAAGUGACUUUCCUGCAUGGGAGAGAUACUAAAGGUGGCCUCUAUUUAUAAGCUACCACUGAGAGAUGGGUCUGCGUCUGAUUAGCUAGUUGGCGGGGUAACGGCCCACCAAGGCGACGAUCAGUAGCCGGUCUGAGAGGAGGAACGGCCACAUUGGGACUGCGACACGGCCCAGACUCCUACGGGAGGCAGCAGUGGGGAAUAUUGCGCAAUGGACGAAAGUCUGACGCAGCGACGCCGCGUGUGGGAUGAAGCUCUUCGGGGUGUAAACCACUGUUGCCCGGGAAGAAUCUCCUGAUUCAUCAGGAUUGACGGUACCGGGUGAGGAAGCACCGGCUAACUCUGUGCCAGCAGCCGCGGUAA
rnacentral:rRNA from 1 species